rnacentral:rRNA from 1 species
GACGAACGCUGGCGGCGUGCUUAACACAUGCCAGUCGAACGGAAAGGCCCUGCUUUUGUUGGGUGCUCGAGUGGCGAACGGGUGAGUAACACGUGAGUAACCUGCCCUUGACUUUGGGAUAACUUCAGGAAACUGGGGCUAAUACCGGAUAGGCGCUCCUGCUGCAUGGUGGGGGUUGGAAAGUUUCGGCGGUUGGGGAUGGACUCGCGGCUUAUCAGCUUGUUGGUGGGGUAGUGGCUUACCAAGGCUUUGACGGGUAGCCGGCCUGAGAGGGUGACCGGCCACAUUGGGACUGAGAUACGGCCCAGACUCCUACGGGAGGCAGCAGUGGGGAAUAUUGCACAAUGGGCGGAAGCCUGAUGCAGCAACGCCGCGUGCGGGAUGACGGCCUUCGGGUUGUAAACCGCUUUCGCCUGUGACGAAGCGUGAGUGACGGUAAUGGGUAAAGAAGCACCGGCUAACAACGUG